AACGAACGCUGGCGGCAUGCCUAACACAUGCAAGUCGAACGAGACCUUCGGGUCUAGUGGCGCACGGGUGCGUAACGCGUGGGAACCUGCCCUUAGGUUCGGAAUAACUCCCCGAAAGGGGUGCUAAUACCGGAUCAUGUCUUCGGACCAAAGAUUUAUCGCCUUUGGAUGGGCCCGCGUUGGAUUAGCUAGUUGGUAGGGUAAAAGCCUACCAAGGCGACGAUCCAUAGCUGGUCUGAGAGGAUGAUCAGCCACACUUGGACUGAGACACGGCCCAGACUCCUACGGGAGGCAGCAGUGGGGAAUAUUGGACAAUGGGCGAAAGCCUGAUCCAGCAAUGCCGCGUGAGUGAUGAAGGCCUUAGGGUUGUAAAGCUCUUUUACCCGGGAUGAUAAUGACAGUACCGGGAGAAUAAGCUCCGGCUAACUCCGUG
rnacentral:rRNA from 1 species